rnacentral:lncRNA from 1 species
ACAGUACCUUAAAGAACAAGAGUCGUAUGAUAACAGAUUGCUUAUGAGAGAUGAGCGUGUAAAGAACGGCCUGAAUUUCAUGUAUGAGGCCCCGCCAGGAGUUAAAAAAGAAAACAAAGAGGAAGAAGAAACGGAAGGAGAGACAGAAUACAAAUUUGAAUGGCAGGUGCUCCGAGGGAAAAAAUAUGCCAAAGAUGACAUGAACAUCAGAGAUCGGCCCUUUGGUAUUCAGGUUCGAAAUGUAAAGUGUAUUAAAUGUCACAGGUGGGGCCAUGUGAAUACAGAUCGAGAGUGCCCCUUGUUUGGUCUUUCUGGGAUCAAUGCAAGUUCAGUUCCUGCUGAUGG